CACAAGCUUCAAUGACCAAAAACCUUCAAUUAUAGUAUUUAUUAUUUUAUUUCACUUACACUAGGCUGUUUAGGCGGUUUACAUUUCAACCGAGGCUUAUUAUCACUGCUAUUAUUAUUAUCUUAUUUAUAUUUUAAUUUUGCUACUCCUAUCUCACUUAGUACUAAAUUAAUGUUUGUUUUAAUAAUGGGUUUUGUGACGUGUUAAUGGGUCUAGUUUUCGAUGUGUUUUGCAGGUGGAGAGAAGGAUUGAUUUGGUCUAUGGAGGUGGGAGCGUGGGAUUGAUGGGUCUUGUUUCUCAGGCAGUUCAUGAUGGUGGGCGCCAUGUUCUAGGGUUCAUGAUUGUAGUGUCAGUACACCGGGACUUAAAGUUAGAAAGAUUGAGAUAGAAAGGUGGAAGGAAGAGUGCGGCCAAAUGUUUCCUGUAGUUGGGAGUGGUAGAUUUAUCACAGCGCCAGUAAUCACUGAAGAUGGUCAACCCAUUCAAGAUCCAUUAGUGCUUUUAUAAAUAAACCCAGACAAGGGACAGGCUUUACCUCCUGAUGACAAUGGUGGGGUAAAUGUUAGAGGCAAUGGUUUGGAAACAGUGAAGGAUAAGAAAGCAAUCCAGUGGAUGCUGACUCUGCAUCAAAUAGGAAGUAGAUUCCUUGUAGGCUGCUUUAACAGGAGUUAUAGUUUUCACAUCCACUCCAGACAAAGAAUCAGACAAGUACUAUCUUGGACCUGCACCAUUGGAGGAAAUGGCCAGGUUGGCACUUGGCACACGCAUGAUCAUUUGAAUGUACAUUCUAUUCUUUAGAGGUCAGGAUAU